rnacentral:rRNA from 1 species
GUGAGGAAUUUUCCGCAAUGGGCGAAAGCCUGACGGAGCAAUGCCGCGUGAAGGAUGAAGGCCUAUGGGUUGUAAACUUCUUUUCUCAGAAAAGAAUUAUGACGGUAUCUGAGGAAUAAGCAUCGGCUAACUCUGUGCCAGCAGCCGCGGUAAGACAGAGGAUGCAAGCGUUAUCCGGAAUGAUUGGGCGUAAAGCGUCUGUAGGUUGUUUAAAAAGUAUUCUGUCAAAGAUUAGGGCUUAACCCUAGAUAGGCAGAAUAAACUUUUAAGCUAGAGUUUGGUAGAGGCGGAGGGAAUUCCCGGUGGAGCGGUGAAAUGCGUAGAUAGCGGGAGGAACACCAAAGGCGAAGGCACUCUGCUGGGCCAAUACUAACACUGAGAGACGAAAGCGAGGGGAGCAAAUGGGAUUAGAAACCCCGGUAGUCC